GACGAACGCUGGCGGCGCGCUUAACACAUGCAAGUCGAGCGAAGCGGCGGACGGGUGAGUAACACGUGAGUAACCUGCCUUCGACAUUGGCAUAGCCUCGGGAAACCGGGAUUAAUACCAAAUGGUCUAAGAUGGACUCGGUUCCCAUUAUAUAGUUGGUGAGGUAACGGCCCAACAAGGCGACGAUGGGUAGCCGGCCUGUGAGGGGGAACGGCCAAGUUUGAACUCAUGAACGGUCCAAACUCUUCGGGAGGCAGCAGUGGGGGAUAUUGCACAAUGGAGGGAACUCUGAUGCAGCGACGCAGCGUGAACGAGGAAGGCUUUCGAGUAGUAUAGCUCUUUUAUAUGGGAAGCGGUACCAUAAGAAAAAGCCCCGGCUAACUACGUGCCAGCCGCCGCGGUAAUUC
rnacentral:rRNA from 1 species